rnacentral:rRNA from 1 species
UAGGGAAUCUUCCACAAUGGGCGAAAGCCUGAUGGAGCAACGCCGCGUGCAGGAUGAAUGCCUUAGGGUUGUAAACUGCUUUUGUUAGUGACGAUUAUGACGGUAACUAGCGAAUAAGGAUCGGCUAACUCCGUGCCAGCAGCCGCGGUCAUACGGAGGAUCCAAGCGUUAUCCGGAAUUACUGGGCGUAAAGAGUUGCGUAGGUGGUUUGACAAGUAGAUAGUGAAAUCGUGUGGCUUAACCAUACAUACAUUAUCUAAACUGCCAGACUGGAGUAUGAGAGAGGUAGAUGGAAUUCUCUGUGUAGGAGUGAAAUCCGUAGAUAUAGGGAGGAACACCGAUGGCGUAAGCAGUCUACUGGCUCAUUACUGACACUGAGGCACGAAAGCGUGGGUAGCAA